AGGGCUCCAAAGAAUGCCCCUCAAGUCCCACCCCACUACCCACCAGAAAACAAAACUAGCCAGCUUGAGUCACAUGUUCUGGUCACAAGAAAGUCCCACCAGAAGAAGCUUUGCCCUUCUGUUCUGCUUGAAUCUUUAGCUGACAGCAGGAGCUGACUCUGUAGAAAGAGGUCACAGGUCAGAGACUCGGUCCACGAGCCCUGCUUCUGAAAACCCAACCACCUAGAGCACAGCGAAACUGCAAACUGGAACAGGUGGGCUGGUUGGUUAACACAAGGAUAAGCAGCAGAGCCCGCCCCCAAGCGGGGGCGGAACUGACUGUAACAGGAGGAACCAAACAAGGACUUGAAGCUAA